UACAGAGGGUGCGAGCGUUAAUCGGAAUUACUGGGCGUAAAGUGUGCGCAGGCGGCACCGCAAGUCGAGUGUGAAAGCCCCGGGCUUAACUUGGGAAUUGCGCUCGAAACUAUGGUGCUGGAGUGUGGCAGAGGAAGGUGGAAUUCCACGUGUAGCGGUGAAAUGCGUAGAGAUGUGGAGGAACACCGAUGGCGAAGGCAGCCUUCUGGGCCAACACUGACGCUCAUGCACGAAAGCGUGGGGAGCAAACAGG
rnacentral:rRNA from 1 species